UACGAAGGGGGCUAGCGUUGCUCGGAAUUACUGGGCGUAAAGGGCGCGUAGGCGGGAUGGCAAGUCGGUCGUGAAAUCCCUCGGCUCAACCGAGGAACGUCGAUCGAUACUGCUGUUCUUGAGGAUUGCAGAGGAGACUGGAAUUCCCGGUGUAGCGGUGAAAUGUGUAGAGAUCGGGAGGAACACCGGUGGCGAAGGCGGGUCUCUGGGCAAUUCCUGACGCUGAGGCGCGAAAGCGUGGGGAGCAAACAGG
rnacentral:rRNA from 1 species